CUUAACCUGCACCUGGACUAUAGCUGAUGUAUUUCAGAACGUUACCCCGAAAAGUGAUUGAGCAAAGAUUUAGCUUUUUUUUUUUAAAUUGAAGGUGCACCAAGUUGGAUUUCAAGAUCGUCUUUUUAUGGUAUAGACUGAAUUAUGCGCCAUAAGCCUCCUCUAAAACCUCAAAUUAGUCGCACAUGGCCUUUCUUGCCCUUGAAAAUGCGACCAAAUGACGAGACGCGACCCUUUUUCGGGUUUCUCCGGAAAAGGGUAUCUGUCACACUGUUUGGUCUCGUGUUUAAGGGUGAAAAAGGCUGCGCACAAUUGUAAUUUCGGGUUUCGUAGGAUGCUUAGGGUGCGUCGGUUUAGUUUAUGCCACGUCACUUUAAGGUUUAGCACAUGGCCUCUCUUGCCCUUAAAAUUGCGACCAAAUGACAAGACGUGACCCUUUUUCCGAUUUCUCCAAAAAAGGGUAGUUUCACGCUUUUUCGCCCAUAUUUAAGGGUGAAAAAGGCUGCGCACAAUUGUAAUUUCGGGUUUCGUAGGAUGCUUAGGGUGUGGCGGUUGAGUUUGUGCCACGAAAAGACAAUCUUGAAAUCCAGCUAAGCAUCCCUUAAGUUUCUUGCUGCAUAAAUGCUGAAAAGCGAAAAUUCGCUAGCCCUUAUCGGUCUCAUAAUUAGCUUUAUUAAGAAAUUUAUUUUUGUUGGCUACUUUUGGAAGUCAAGCUGUCCAUCCAGCUGUUUCCUUGCAAUUUAUUCUCCAAGAAAAGAAGCGACGGGAAAAUGUGUAAUUUCAUUGCAGUUGCAGUUUAGUUUCCCGCACGAGUGUUCCUCUGAAGCUACUGAACGGUGAAUGGGAGGGUUUUAGGCUUCUUGCUUUAGACUGCCAUGCAGCUCAUAAGUUCAGACCAUAGGCCUUCGUCGCAGCAUCAAUCGCAGUCCAUCGAGUCGGAGGAGUGUGAAUGUGGAUUGCGCGGUUGAGUUCAGCCGAGACGAUUCCUGCUGCUCUUUCUUGGGCAGUCUUCUAGUGCUGACAUUUCACUGUGAUACCGUGUGCAGUGACGCUGGGGUAAGUGACAGCAAAGUGAAGUGUGAGUGCAUUAUGAAAGACACUGCUUACUACAGGUGUGUGUGGAAUGCUAGUAUGGAAUGUUUGCUUUGAGAAAUUCACUUCAUUCGGGCAUUGAUUGUGGAACAAACAAGUUUUUGAGGUGUUUCGUCGAUUGUGCGUACUGUUGAUCGCACAAAGUGUGGCAUUACCGAUGGGCCUCUUUGAAAGCACCGCAUUCUGUCGAAAGAUCAUGAAAUAGAGUGCAAUUCACUUAGAACGAUAAGGAGAAAACCCAAAAAUCUUUAUAACUGGUCAUUGUUGUAUCUGAACUAGAAAAUGAGCAUUUCUGGUCUAGAAACUCUAGGAACUGAUCGUUGUAAGCGGUACAUUGUUAUAUAUGACACUGUAUGUGGAUUGCACUGUGUUGCUCGGUGGUGGACUCGAGGCACAGUACCAAGCUUGCAUGGGCACAAGUGCUAACGUUUACGUCAUGUUUACCUCGAGAAAGGUUAUUUAGACUCGGACGUCUCGUAUCGCUGGCUGCUCCGCAAUGGUGCAUAAUUUUCGGACCGCGGAUGGAAGGAUGAGUCUUUUGGAAAAAGUUUGCAUCUUUCUACGAAAGUGCAAGGCAUGCAAUGAAACUCAAUCUUCGUGUUCAUCUUGUUUUAUAGCGAGCGUAUGGCAACACCUCAGGACGAACAUUAAAUUGCAGUGCGGGCAUUAUACUUUCUCGGGGGCAUAUUGGGCAUAUGGAUAUAAGCUGGGAGCUUAAGUGUAGAUGGUGAUUUUAUUUGCUUUUGGAACAGGACUGCAUGGUAAAUAUUAGUGUUAUGCGGAUAUUAGAAUAGUAGCUUUGAAUAAUGCGCUGUUCAAUAUUUGCUUGAAAAUGAACUGCGAUAUUCAUACUUUUCGAAUCGUUGAUCGCGGCAAGCUAGCCCUGUUGAGGGCACUUCAUACUGAGCACCUCUGCACUGCAGAGAAGGAACACCCCCAGAGCUUGCAGGUAUUGCUUCCUGCAGUGAACAGUUGCUCGGUGAGAAGUGCGAAGAAUAUAAGUUAGGCAGCAAUGUCUUGGCAACCCACGCUCAUCAUUCAAAAGUUUGUUGUUGUUGUUGUUAUUUUUGUCCAAUUUGAAAUUUAAAAAAAUAUUUGCAUAUAGCGAGCAGAUUUAUAAACCCCCUCGAUUAGGAUAGCUGGAACAAUUUUGUUGUUUAGAUUCCAAAGUUCAUGAAUAAUGCUAUACUACAAUUAAAGGGAAGCUGAAACACUUCUUUGAAAAAAGGAGAUAUAAAUUUUGAUUCUAGCAUAGUUUUAUCCCAUGAAUCUGAAUAUCAUGUUCAUUUUUCCCAAAGAUGUCACUAAACACGAGAGAACACGAAAAUCCUCUGACCAGUUCUUACGUCACAAGAGGAUGUUUUGCCGCCAAGCGCAUGUCACUCGAUGGCCACGCGUGCAAUUGCAAGCUUGUCAGGUAUAUUCCCUUACACUGGCACCAGUUGCGACAUCUUUUUAGGCCCUUUUUAAAAAUAGCAAGAGUGCGUGUGCACGGCUUUGAUAGGCGCUGAGGGUGCAUGAGAGCGAAGAUUCCAAAAACUCCUUUUGUGACUUCACGCUCCGGAAACUUCAACGAUACUUUGAAAAUGGUUUUCUGCAGCCUUUAUGCACCAAAUUUAAAAAAGAAAAAAAAAGAAUCUCUAUAUUUUGGAUUUUGGAGGUCGAAGGAAAACAAUUUAGGUGUGUUUUCUGAAAUACAAAACCGCUUCAGCUUCCCUUUGACCGAACUUAGAAGUGGACAAGUGAAAGGUUGGGAACAACCUUCAUGAGUUCAACUGAAUUUUCAUUUAAGCAUACACAUGAUAGUGAAAGGCUCCAAGAAACUAUUCAAUAUUUGAUUAGAAAAUAUUUUACCAAAACCACGAUUCGCCUUGGAACUCAGAAUCCACUAGUAGCACUUGACGUGUGAAUCUUCAUCAAUGCCUUAUACUUAUGUACUACACUUUGCCUUCCACUACACGGUUCUGCAUUCCCAUCGAAUAUAUGGAUGGGAUUUGAAGUCUCUCCGAUGACUUAUUAAUUUGGCUUGUGAACUGGCUCCGGCAAUUUUGCGAAUUUCCCCCGAAGGGAUUCUGGAGGCUUAUUCUCACGGCGCUAACAUGCGGCUCGAGAUACGGGAAAUGUGCACACGGUGCAUUUUCCUGAAUUUGCAGCCUGCACCAAGUUUGGUCGACAGCAGUGCCUCUCUCUCUCUCUCUCUCUCGGAAUAUCAGCCCAAGGUUUGCUUUUCAGACUCAGGUGGUUCACCCAAUCUUUUGCACAGCACAUUCUGAGAAGUAUCUCUCGAAAGGGUUUAUCAAUAGAAAAACAAAAAUAGAAAAAAAAAAAAAACACCAAUUUAGGCAAAUUCUUGGAACUGUUUUUCGGUCUCUUUUCGAGCCGUUGUCAAGGAACGAUCGACUGACAGAUUAACGACGUCUUUACUAGGUUUUAUGGUAUAUGGCCUCACGCAUGAGACGGCAGAAGAGUUGUCACGCAGUUUGGAAAAUACCGGCAAACUCUGAAAAUAUAGCCUGAGCUGGUUUUAUUACAAUCGGGAGGACCGAAAUGCCCCGAAUGGGAGCUGUCUUUGAAUGAGGGAAACCCAAGCUCGACGGAAAGGAAAUUUUUGAUCUCCAGCUUUAUUUUGCAUUCACCCAGAACACAUCCCCACCAAAUUGUAAGCUACACUCCUGCUUUCUUCAGAACCUCACCCCUUAUUUCGUUUCCUUUUCCAAUCGAUCCUUAAGUCUUCUUGCAGGUGUCCGAGUCUUGCGCGUUUUCCCUGGAGGUUGGGCUGUCCCCGUGUGCUAUUGGCUUCGACAUUAGCCUCGAUAAAAGCCAUUUAUUUGUCCGCCACUGAAAGUCGACACCAAAAAACACUAAAUCUGUGGAGAAAAAAAAAAUACUCCCAGAAAAAACACCCCCGAAUUUGAAGAAAAUUGAACCCCGAUAGCAAGAGCUCUACACAUCGUUUCACUUUUAGUCCAUGCGCAGUCGAUGCUACGUGCCGGUGGGACCAAUCGGACGGUGUCAAGGGGGCACCGUCAUGGUGUUCGCUGUGUUUCUGUAUGUGUUCCAUCAUCACUAGACCAAUCAUGUACAGGCAAGGCUUUGUGACGCGUGCUUUCGAUGCCGUCGGAUUAGUUCCAUUAGCUUAUAUAAAGUCGGUUGCAUCUGGGCUUAAACCGAAACCAAGUAUGGUUAUAAGCUAUUGUAAAAGACAACCUUGGGAACAUUUGCGUCGAGACGGGCGUCUCCUUUUCUACGAGCGUACUAUUUUGAAUGCGUUUUGGAGGAAGUUUAGCCAAAUGACCUACUGAAGUGGUUUUGUCUCGAAGAGAAAUCGCUCCGUGGCAGUUUGUCUGGCCUUGGUGCAUUUGUACGUCGCCGUUUAAUGCGUGGAUUUGCCGCCGAGGCUCAGAAACGUGCUCCACAAUUCAGUCGUGAAAGACGGAGAUUUCUCAACUAACUCUUGCGAAGGACCUUCCUUGUGUCACACAUUUCUAAGUUGCCAAACUUGCUGUGGAAAGUUCUGGUGCUCCUUUCGUUAGAUUGCCUUUGUUCAGAAAUGAAUUGGGGAACUCGCUGUGAUAGGUGCUCUGCCUGGGUUCAUAGCGUUUGAUUUCCCAGUAACGUCCAAUUCGCUUCUUCGAGUUGCGCAGCUGCAUUUUCCUUAUACAUAUUUUGUGGUUGCUAAUUUUCUCUACACGACUGCCAUACGAUAGUGACCAGGGGUGGACAAAUAAACGAGCACGCAUGGGCCACCAAUGUUGGGAAUGGGUGCAGUACGAGUGAAAUACACUGUAGGAAUGUUUCGGACACUCUUAAGUAAAAUUAAUCUGGAUGUUGCUAAUAAUACAUGUCUGAAUUUCAAGAAAAAAAUUGCAAAGUAAUUGUUUAAUGAUAUUUUAUUGUUUCUGCUCCACUUAGUGUUUUAUAAUGUUGUUCAAGAAGUGAGCCAUAUUUUUGCUCGAGAUAUCCUGCUUAUAGAGACCAAUUAUAUUUUUUACAAAUGUCUUCUUAACUUUAUUUCUCCAGUAUAUCCAUUGAAAAGAUUAUUGAUUGUGCAUUCUUUACUUUUUUUUUUUGUAUCUUUUCAAGGCUCUCAGUUUUAUGUCACAUUGUAGAAUGCACAUUUUGUCGGUAGGAGCUUGCUCACCCAAUCCUGGCAAUAGGCCGGCUGUCUUUCUUCUAAGUGCGUUUUAUCCAGUCAUGGUUGCAUGAGGUAAGAUGUUGAUCGGAACUAUUGUGGUCACAAAAACUUAAUGCUUCUGCACAUUUGAUAAAAAUUUUGCAGACCAUGUUGAGAGCCACAGGUUAUACUCUAACAUUGCAGCCUGCGUUUUCUAGCUUUAAAGAGAAAACACCAUUUUUAAGUCUGAGAUUCCAUGCAUGUUCACAUGACGGCCAAAGAUAGUCUCGAAUGUCCGAAGCCCCACUCUAGCUGCCCAAUGUUGUUUUUCUGAUUCUCUAACAGAUUUGACCCUGUACAUACGUGAAUUGUAAAUGGAGAUGUAACAAACUUUUAAGCCCUCUUCAACAAGGACUGCAUUUAUACUCUAAGUCAUCUCAUUAUAAGUGAGGCCCAUGAUGUCACAUGUGUCACAUUGUCUUUUCAUGUGCUCAAUCAUGUGUACCCUAUGUCGGAGCUCCCUGUGCCAUAUUUUAUAAGAGGGUUUCUAAUCCGCGUGUAGCUAGAAUUUGGAGUGCAGAUUAGUAACCAGUGGAGAGGUGGAUUGUGCUUGGCUGGACUGUGCUAGUGUGUGUGUGUGCUUUGGAUAGAAUGCCUGUAGUGCUUUUCACUACGUCACCUGGACUUUCUGGAAGUGCAUGUUUGCAAGUAUUUUGCGUGUGAGCCUCUGUUUGUACAUUGUUCCAAACAUGUCUGGAGGUGAGUGGACCUGGAGAGAUUAACAUAGUCAUUUUUUCCUAACAAUAGCUUGUACAUCCAAAUGGAAAUAAACUAUUUAUUUGUCACUGCA